GUUCUCUUCAAGCAUGAGGAGUCGAGGUGGUACGGACGGCUGCAGACUGGCCAGCAGGGAUACUUCCCCGCCACUCAUGUUACGGAGCUGAUCGAGGAGGAUGAGCCGCCUAAAGAAGGCAACGUUUCAUUAAGGAGGAGUUCAGAUGGGGUCGUGCUGACGGCUGGGACACUUGGUUCUGGAGGCCCCCCGUCGACCCCCGGCGCUCGGAGGCGGCUGUCCCUGAGGUGCGGCGACGAGAGCCCGUUCCACGCGCUGCGGCGGGAGUCCCAUCACGUCGCGGCGGCCGCCUGCCAGUCUCCGCGCCUGCUCCAUCGGAUCCUCUCCAAGAACCGGCGGAAGAGCGAGAGUCACAAGGGGGCCUCCAACGGGGCCUUCGAGCCCGACUGAGCGCGACCAAACAGGAGGAGGAGAAGGAGGAGAAGGAGGAGGGGAAGGAGGGAUGGUGAUUAGAGAAGAGAGCACACCCCCCCCUCUCCACACACACACACACACCCCUGGCCCCUGCAGGCAGAAAAAGGAGGGAAUGGAGGAAUCUAUUACGUGGGAAACCUGAUUAGAGGAUCUGAUCUGGGGCCUGUGACAAUUUAACUGGGCUGCUCUUGCUGGGCUGCCGGAUAAGGGCUGAGUUGACUUGCCGUCUCAGAUCUGCGCUCUGUGUGGGCGCGGGAGAAGAGCCCCAGCAGGAGAGGUGAUGUGUCCAAGGCAGUGUCCACUGCAGGUCUAAAAGCCCGCUCCACCCAAACACAUUCCAAACCACCCUCGCCCUCAAUGGAAGCCUGUGUUGCAGCAAGCAUGACACAAUGCCAUAAACUGGGAUUUUUAUUAGGGGCAGGGGUUUGAGUCCAAUGAGUAGUUCAAUUCUCUAGCCAACACAAUUAGCAAGUUGAUGUUUUAUAGUGCUUGUUCUGGUGUCACUACAGCAAAGGGGUUUGGUGUGGAUUGCAGUGAGGUUUCUUUGGUUGUUUUUUGUUGUCAUAAUGUUAAUGAGAUGAUUUAUUUUAUUUUAUUGCACUUGUAUUGUGGUCUUUCAAAUGAGUUUGGUUUAAUGUCUGGUAAUACCCAAAAUAUAUCUACAAUACACAACACUAUACAACACAAACUAUGCAAAUGUACAGUAGAAUAACAGUUCAAUAGAAGGGAAAAUGUCAGUCACGU